rnacentral:rRNA from 1 species
UGGGGAAUAUUGCACAAUGGAGGGAACUCUGAUGCAGCGACGCCGCGUGAACGAAGAAGGCUUUCGAGUCGUAAAGUUCUUUUAUAUGGGAAGAUAAUGACGGUACCAUAAGAAAAAGCCCCGGCUAACUACGUGCCAGCAGCCGCGGUAAUACGUAGGGGGCUAGCGUUGUCCGGAAUCACUGGGCGUAAAGGGUUCGCAGGCGGAAAUGCAAGUCAGGUGUAAAAGGCAGUAGCUUAACUACUGUAAGCAUUUGAAACUGCAUAUCAUGAGAAGAGUAGAGGUAAGUAGAAUUUUUAGUGUAGCGGUGAAAUGCGUAGAUAUUAAAAAGAAUACCGGUGGCGAAGGCGACUUACUGGGCUCAUUCUGACGCUGAGGAACGAAAGCGUGGGUAGCAAACAGG